AACGAACGCUGGCGGCAGGCUUAACACAUGCAAGUCGAACGCCCCGCAAGGGGAGUGGCAGACGGGUGAGUAACACGUGGGGAUCUGCCCAAUGGUACGGAAUAGCUCCGGGAAACUGGAAUUAAUACCGUAUAAGCCCGCAAGGGGAAAGAUUUAUCGCCAUUGGAUGAACCCGCGUCGGAUUAGCUAGUUGGUGGGGUAAAGGCCUACCAAGGCGACGAUCCGUAGGUGGUCUGAGAGGAUGAUCAGCCACACUGGGACUGAGACACGGCCCAGACUCCUACGGGAGGCAGCAGUGGGGAAUAUUGGACAAUGGGCGCAAGCCUGAUCCAGCCAUGCCGCGUGAGUGAUGAAGGCCUUAGGGUUGUAAAGCUCUUUCGCCGACGAAGAUAAUGACGGUAGUCGGAGAAGAAGCCCCGGCUAACUUCGUGCCAGCCGCCGCCGUAACAC
rnacentral:rRNA from 1 species